CCUGUGGUACUAUUUUUUUUAAAGAAAAAUAAUUUUAUUGAUAAACAAUGCGAAUACGAUUAGUUUUUCUGUUAAUUCUUCUCCGAAUUAUUCCUCCAUAGAGCAAAGAAUUUGUGCGGAUUCUUGUGAAGUAUUUGAUUCCGUGAAGCACCCGACAGCACUCUGAGUUGAUCUUGUAAAAGUAGAAUCAGACUUGAGAAAGACAUAAUUUCAUGUCUUGAUAUCUUUGUGAAUCUCCCAAGAGUUUAUGGGAUUUUCAAGAUUAUAAUUAAUAGUACUAAAUUCAAUAAAAAGAAGAAGAAAGGAAAAGAAACGUAAAUUUGAAUCAGUGGAUACUAAUUUUAUGUUAAACAAGGCGUAAAAACAACAAUCUUACCGAUGGCAUCCCAACUCACAAUCAGAAUAUUUAUCUAAAUAGCCAAAAUAACUGAAU
rnacentral:lncRNA from 1 species